AUUGAACGCUGGCGGCAGGCUUAACACAUGCAAGUCGAGCGGGGACUUCGGUCCUAGCGGCGAACGGGUGAGGAAUGCUUGGGAAUCUGCCCAGUAGCGGGGGAUAACGUUUCGAAAGGAACGCUAAUACCGCAUACGCCCUCCGGGGGAACGGGGGAGAUCUUCGGACAUCUCCCUAUUGGCUGAGCCAAGUCGGAUCAGCUAGUUGGUGGGGUAAAGUCCUACCAAGGCGACGAUCCGUAGCUGGUCUGAGAGGAUGAUCAGCCACACUGGAACUGAGACACGGUCCAGACUCCUACGGGAGGCAGCAGUGGGGAAUAUUGGACAAUGGGCGAAAGCCUGAUCCAGCCAUGCCGCGUGUGUGAAGAAGGCCUUCGGGUUGUAAAGCACUUUAAGCGAGGAGGAAUGGCUGAGGGUUAAUAACCUUCAGCAGUGACGUUACUCGCAGAAUAAGCACCGGCUAACUCUGCGCCAGCCGCCGCCGUAACAC
rnacentral:rRNA from 1 species